UGUGCUUUAGUAUAUGAUGUAUAAGAGUUUUUGAUACUUUAGGGAAUAGUUUAAUUCUAUUAGGUACAG
rnacentral:tRNA from 1 species